GCUUCCAGUCAAUUGGAUCUGAUCUUAUACCCGCACACGAGAGCUACCGGAGCAGCAACAGAUUAACAAGGACCCAAGCUGGACUCCCAAGUUCUUCGGCUCAAGGCGCUAAGGUGUUGGAGACGUGCCUGUACUUGUUGAGCGUUUUAUCUGUAGAGUGCUAUAUUGUGAUUGGUGUAAUAUUGUAUGGUUAUAUUGUGAUUGGUGGAAUGUAAUAGACUUGAUUGGUAUAUUGGUGAUUUGGCUGUUAUUUGAAUA